GAUGAACGCUGGCGGCGUGCCUAAUACAUGCAAGUCGAGCGAACAGAUGAGGAGCUUGCUCCUCUGACGUUAGCGGCGGACGGGUGAGUAACGCGUGGAUAACCUACCUAUAAGACUGGGAUAACUUCGGGAAACCGGAGCUAAUACCGGAUAAUAUAUUGAACCGCAUGGUUCAAUAGUGAAAGACGGUUUUGCUGUCACUUAUAGAUGGAUCCGCGCCGCAUUAGCUAGUUGGUAAGGUAACGGCUUACCAAGGCAACGAUGCGUAGCCGACCUGAGAGGGUGAUCGGCCAAACUGGAACUGAGACACGGUCCAGACUCCUACGGGAGGCAGCAGUAGGGAAUCUUCCGCAAUGGGCGAAAGCCUGACGGAGCAACGCCGCGUGAGUGAUGAAGGUCUUCGGAUCGUAAAACUCUGUUAUUAGGGAAGAACAAAUGUGUAAGUAACUAUGCACGUCUUGACGGUACCUAAUCAGAAAGCCACGGCUAACUACGUG
rnacentral:rRNA from 1 species